UGUACCUACGGGACGCAGCAGUGGGGGAUAUUGCACAAUGGGGGAAACCCUGAUGCAGCGACGCCGCGUGUGGGAAGACGGUCUUCUGGAUUGUAAACCACUGUCCCCAGGGACGAAAAUGACGGUACCUGGGGAGGAAGCUCCGGCUAACUACGUGCCAGCAGCCGCGGUAAUACGUAGGGAGCAAGCGUUGUCCGGAAUUACUGGGUGUAAAGGGAGCGUAGACGGUGUGGCACGUCUGAAGUGAAAGCCCGGGGCUCAACCCCGGGCCUGCUUUGGACACUGUCAUGCUGGAGUGCUG
rnacentral:rRNA from 1 species